UACGUAGGGUGCAAGCGUUAUCCGGAAUUAUUGGGCGUGAAGCGCACGCAGGUGGUUACUUAAGUCUGAUGUGAAAGCUCCUGGCUUAACUGGGAGAGGUCGUUGGAAACUGGGUAACUUGAGGUGAUGAGAGGGGUGUGGAAUUCCCGGUGUAGUGGUGGAAUGCGUAGAUAUCGGGGGGAACACCAGUGGCGAAAGCGGCACCCUGGCAUUGACCUGACGCUCAGGUGCAUAAGCGUGGGUAGCGAACGGG
rnacentral:rRNA from 1 species